rnacentral:siRNA from 1 species
AUCAACUCUCUACUACCGCGAA